UACGAAGGGUGCUAGCGUUGUUCGGAAUCACUGGGCGUAAAGGGUGCGUAGGCGGCUAGACAAGUCAGGGGUGAAAGCCUGGAGCUUAACUCCAGAACUGCCCUUGAAACUGUCUGGCUAGAGUGUCGGAGGGGAUAGCGGAAUUUCUAAUGUAGCGGUGAAAUGCGUAGAUAUUAGAAGGAACACCGGUGGCGAAGGCGGCUAUCUGGACGACAACUGACGCUGAGGCACGAAAAGCGUGGGGGAUCAAACAGG
rnacentral:rRNA from 1 species